ensembl:lncRNA
UCAGGAGCACACGAAAAAAUGCCUUUGGAAAAAAACCUUUAGCAGUGACAUAAGGCUGCAGUCGGUGGGUCACAAGGUCCCUGCUCUGCUCCAUUCAAAUGCAUAUGUUUGUAGACGGCUAGAUCCAUGUACGUCUUUUGGUUUUCCUCAUCCGACCUGGCAUCUGGCUCUAAACUGUAUGACUGGAUAACUCAAAUAUUGCUCACUAUUUAAGUUGAGGUUGUAAGGGGCUGCAAGAUAAUGGGAGACAGAGUUAACAGAUGGAUAAUGGGAAGUACGGGUGGGAUUACUCCAUGCCAACUGUCCCGCCCACAAGACAGAGGUGACUUUCUAAUGAAUUACUGCCACUCUGCAGAAACUAUGUCCUAAAAAACAACACACGUUUUUUUUUGUUUUGGCCAGAAACACCACAAUCAUAAUUAAAAACCACUGAGAACGCUUUGAAAAUAGAUCAAAUCAGAGAGGGAUCAGAGUGGGACUUUAAAGAAAAGAUUGGAAAGGUUUCUACAGAAUGUCAAAAGACUGAGAAAGACUUUGUUAACUUAUUACUGGUGAAACAUCAAGCAGCUACAAGAGGACUGGUAUAAUUGUUUCAUUAUUUUCUCUGCAUACUUUUUCUUGGACAGGGAAAGCAACUACAGCCACUCAAGAUAAAUACUACAACCAAUCCAAGGAGUGUUAACUCUAGACCUGAUAUGAGUGAGAUGGGGACGUCAAAAAAAUUAAAACCCAGUUUUAAUUGCUGUCAAAUUUGGGGAAUCAAACUAUAAUUUCUCAAAUCGUAUUGCCUGAAAUUAGAUUUAAGCUUGGAAAAACAGACAAAAAAGAAAACUGGCAAGUACUGCAAGUCUUUUAACCAUCAUGCAUGAAGAGCCUUAUCACAGGACACCAUUUUUUUGUACCAAACAGACAAUGUGGAUCGCUCACCAUCCCUGGCUCCACUUAGAAACUACUUUCACCGCCUACAGACCUCUGAUCAGCGGUACAGUGAUGGUGUUUACUCCUCCUGUCAGCUGUGAAAUGCAUCACAGCUUGUUUACUUCACCAAGACCAAGUUUUUACUUUGCAACAUCAUUCUAUCGUUUCCUUAAAGCUCCAAGAAUUAGAGUUCAUCUGCUAAGGUUGUUUGAAAGCUUUGCAUCGUUCUGUCUGCCCAAAUUUCCAGCAGAAAAUCGUCUUCAGUUCCACAUCAGAAAGAUCCCUUUAAAAGGAAUCACAAUCAAAAUGGUCUCAUUGUGUCCCUUUUUUCAUGUAUGACUGAGAGAACUGGCAAUUUACAUCUGUUCCUUUUGGUGCUCAAAGCCCAACAAGAGUUUCCUCCAGUUAAUGCUUGCUUUGGAGCACCUAGGUUUUCUGUGCUUGAAAACAGAGCCAAAGAGAUAACCUUGGGCUCAAAUAAACUAAAACAAGUAGUGUGCUACAAGUAGGUUUUUUAUUUUCUUUUUUUAUUUAUUUUAUAUUUGCACUAUAUGCCGUUUUUCCCCACUUCGCUCACACUUUCUAAUAAAGCUUAGCAUGGUUCACUUCCAAGUAAACAAAAGAUGAUCAAAUAAAGCAAGAUGUCAGGUCUCAUGUCUCCAGAUUUUAAGUGAGUUUUUACACUUGUCCAACAAAGAGAACAAUCUGAGGAAAUGAAUUGGAGCAGAUCAAAUAGCUCAGUCUAAAAGCGCUCCUGAAGUUACAAGACA